rnacentral:lncRNA from 1 species
UUGCCGUAAAAGGACUCAUUGUCCAGCGUCUCCAUAACGUGCUCCAACGCGCCUCCUGUGCCCAUGUAAAAGUGGGCGGGAGUAGGGAGGGUCAGAGAGGAGGGAAAGGGGAAGCGAGACCUGCGACGCCAGGAGCUGCCCAGCUCCCAGACUCUUAAUACGUCCCGGCUGCAGAAGGGGCACCCGAAGUUGCUUUUAUAUCUUGAAACUCAGCUGGGCUCCUCCGGCAACCUCCCAGUCCUAAUGAAUAUGAAAAUAGGCAAAUGCCAGGAGAGACAAGGACACCCAGAAUCGUAGUCGCCUCGACAGUGGGACUGGCAUUGCCGAGGAGCCUGGCCCACUCCCCCAACACCCGCUGUACACCCCGCCCCCACCCCAGCCACUCACUCCCAGAAGAUUUAGAGGCAUCUUAAGAACUUGAAAGGAAGUAUUGCUCUAAAGAGCUUUUAUUUCAUCCGUAAAUCGUUUACAUGGAAGAUCCACAUUAAUCUGAGCCCAAGACGCCGGAUACAGCGGCGGCUGUUAACCGGCUUGCUGGAGGUAAAGGGGCCGAGGUUGCCUCUAACCUAAAAGGCUGGCGUCGUGGCGGCCGCAGCGCUCUCCCUUACAAGGCCCUGGCCUUCUCGUUUGCUGUCGGAUGCACCGGAGUAAGGAUGCAGUGGCAUCUAACGGAAUGGAAGGUUUCAAGAGUUGGGGCGGUGCCUUCGAAAAGAGUGUUGCAGAAGCUAGUGGCUCCGCGGACUGGGGUUGGACUCACAGUUGCGGACCCAAAACCCUUCCUUGGUCCAGCUGACCGGGAUGCUAGCGAAGGGGCCUUCCACAGCGGCUGCCCCUUUUCUCCGGGUUACGUUGGCAAUUACAGCAGAGCCUUAGUCACUUCGGGUGGGACCCUCAUUGACGCCCGACCUGGACACAGCUUGCGAGCAAAGAUCCCAGGCACAAUGUUCUGCACAACUGUUGCUUAGCACUGCCCCAAAGGCGGGGCUGCCAGUGAAAAAUGAAGAUUCCAUCCGACAGGACCUGAGAAAAAGUGUCAGGAGCAGCAGCCAUGUUCACCCGGUUCACCACAUUUCCUCCCCAAGAACGGACCCUUUGCUGAGCUACCACCAAUUGACACCGUUUUGCCUUUUAACGGGUUCUAUGAUAUUUUUAAUUGUUUUCUCCGGAGCCUUGAGAUAGCACCAUCAACAAUGAACUGACGAACUUCCAAGAGUGCGGGGGGGGGGGGGGGGGAGGUUAAAGAAAAGCAGGGACUGUCCUGGGCUCUAGCGGAAGGGGAGUCAGGGCUCUAAGAUGGGCAUUCUCCGAAGUGCGAGGCGUUGCUUGCUCCACCUUCUCUGGGGUGGCCUGCAAGUGGGGAGGAAAAACCCAGGAAAUGUGUGCAUCAAGUUUGCUUACAAAGAGAGAAGCUGUAUUCUUCUUGACCCUUUAUCAGAUUGUUCCUGGUGGAAGGUAGACUGAGUUGAGUUGGCCACUCAUUCCUUGUUAGCUUGGUCAGUUUGCAGGAUCUCCCUUUUAAAUCUAUCUUACCUCUAAAUAUUCUGAAAGUCUGCUUUGCCCUAAUAAACGCGAGAAAGAGGAAAGAAACAAACAACCUUUGAUGGGUCUUUCAAAUAUUCACAGCGGCAAGCGCUCCUAUGACUGAUGAAGAACUAUGCAGAGAAUUCUCAGUUAUAAACGUAGCUAUGUCAUGGAGCUUUGUCUGUCUGUUUAUAAAUAUGCGUUUUAGGAGCCCCAAAUUCCCUGAAAAACAUUCGGUGUCUUUUAAAUCAAAGACAUAUGAUACAAGCUCUCCAGCACUUGUAUACCAAUAGACUAGGUCCGAUUUAGGGGGAAACUUCUGUGUAGUCCGGGUCAACUGCAGCUUCGGAAGCCUUUUCCACCCCAUUACCCAAACCCACUUUUGACCGAAGUGGUUUCAGGGGUGGGGUCCAAGGUGUCACCCACCCACUUCAGAUCCCGGAAACCUCCUGAAAAUUCAAAUCUAUUACACGGAACCCCCUUGCGUUUUGUGACAUGUAACCACAUGAGCCCAUAACAGAGGCAACAGUUAAUGGCAAACUCCCAUAACGAAUGCAUAAUCUGCAGGUUUUGGCAAGAAGCUGGGUCUUUGGUUGCCAAGAGUUGCAUUAAAUAAAUUUUGAGGGGUUGAGAUAGAGUUUAUAGCAAUGACACAGCCCUAGCCAGUUGAGCAUUAAUAUUAAAUUUAGGAUACUAAUUAAGGCAAUAAUAAUUGAAUGGUUUCUGGAAAUCACAAAGAAGUGGAAUCGACUGGGAGGUCACUGCACCUGGGCUGCGCUGGCCUGAUGUUUUGGGACAUAACACCAAAUAUAGACUGAAAUACUUGGAUAAGUGCUCUCCUAUAUAUGUAGAACCAGCAUGCCACCCACUCAGUUUUUAAAAUUAGCUGCUACUUCUAGUUUUUGCACCAUCCUAACCCUUCCUGAUUUUUAACCACCUAAAGUAAGCGGUCAACUGGGAAGGGGGAAGAACCAGUUAAGUAUGAAGUAAGGUGGCUUUUUUUUUCCCUCUCAGCCCCAGCCUGUUAUUUCAAGCUUCCCACUUCACUUAACAGUUCUGCACAUACUUUGCACUUCACAAACCUUGUGAUCUAAAGUCAGGAUUCUCUUCCUUCUUUUUACUUAACCCAAUCUGUCAAAACUUUUUCUUAUCUGCUUUUUUUUUUCACGUUUGAAUUUUGAGGGUAGUGUAUCCACAGAGAUUAAGGGACAUUUCUUUUUUUUUAAGCCUGAAAGCAUGCCGGACAUCUCAGGAUUCCAGCCCUCUGGGAUCCCUGGGAGUUUCAUAGCCUUUGCAGGAGUCUCAGCACCUGCAGAGGACUUCAGGGUGGAGGACCAAGAGAUCUGGAGAGGGGUAGGAGGAGUCUUUGGGCUAAGGCCUUGGCUGUUUGCUCCUCUGGUGAUUAAGAUCUGUCUGGUCGGCUAAAGCAUUCCUCUGCUUACAAACACGGAGAGGGAAUUUCGUGGAGAAGAUUGCUCCCUUCGCAUGUCACACCUAAUAUUGUUCCUGCAGCUG